rnacentral:lncRNA from 1 species
CCGGUCCCCAGUGCCAGACCAGCACUUUCCAAAGUUUAGCAAAGGUGCAGGCUGUCACAGCAAAGGACCAUGAGCAUCUGACUCAGCCUGUGGUGAGGUCUGCGUGCUGCUGCUGUGGCCUGAAGAGCAAGAGGGAGCUGGGCAGGCCUGGGAUCCACACAUACACACCCAUGAUCCACACAUACACACCCGUGAUACACACACACACACACACACACACACACACACACACACUUGUGAUCCACACAUACACACCCGUGAUACGCACAUACACACUCGUGAUCCACACACACCUGUGAUCCACACAUACACACCCGUGAUACGCACAUACACACUCGUGAUCCACACACACCUG